rnacentral:rRNA from 1 species
GAUGAACGCUGGCGGCGUGCUUAACACAUGCAAGUCGAACGGAAAGGCCUUGUGCUUGCACAAGGUACUCGAGUGGCGAACGGGUGAGUAACACGUGGGUGAUCUGCCCUGCACUGUGGGAUAAGCCCGGGAAACUGGGUCUAAUACCAUAUAGGACCACUUCUUGGAUGUUGUGGCGGAAAGCUUUUGCGGGGUGGGAUGAGCCUGCGGCCUAUCGGAGUGAUGGUGGGGUAAUGGCCUAACAAGGCGGCGACGGGUAUCCGGCCUGAGAGGGUGUACGGACACAUUGGGACUGAGAUACGGCCCAGACUACUACGGGAGGCAGCAGUGGGGAAUAUUGCACAAUGGGCGCAAGCCUGAUGCAGCGACGCCGCGUGGGGGAUGACGGCCUUCGGGUUGUAAACUCCUUUCGCUAUCGACGAAGCCACCUUGGGUGGUGACGGUAGGUAGAUAAGAAGCACCGGCUAACUACGUGCCAGCCGCCGCGGUAA